rnacentral:ncRNA from 1 species
AAAUUAAAAUAUAUUACUAAUUUAUUUUUUUUAAUUAAUUUUUUAAUUUAAGUUAAUUUAUGCGAUAAGUAUGACUUUUAAGUUAAAGUUUAGUUCUGACUUUAAGAUUUAUUGUUAUUUUUAUUUAAUAUAUAAAUUAUUGUGGUUUCAGUAAGAUUUUAAAUAGAUUUUAUUAUAUUUAAGUAGUAUUUAUAAUUAUAAAUAAAUAAAAAUGAUUUUUGUUUUAGAAUAUAUUAUUAAAAUUGAAAAAAUUUGUGCCAGCAUUCGCGGUUAGACAAAGUAAUUUAAGUAAAUCGUGUAAAUUUUAUAAUUAUUAAUAAUUAUAUUUUUAAUAUUUUAAUAAAAGAAAAUAAAUUAAGGUGAAAUUUUAUUGUUUUUUAAUUAAAAUUUAAUUUUAAAUAUAUAAUGUUAUUAUGAAAAUUAAAGUUUAAACUAGGAUUAGAUACCCUAUUAUUUUAAUUGUAAAUAUUUUUUGAUUUUUAUUUUAUUUUGUGUAAAAUUAAUUUUGGUGUGUGAUUAGGUAGUAAUAGGUAUGGUCUUGAAACUUAAAGAAUUUGACGGUAAUUCAUUCAUUUUAGAGGAACUUGUUUUUUAAUUGAUAAUCCACGAUAUAAUUUACCUAAAUUUUUUAGUUUGUAUAUCGUCGUUUAAAAAAAAUUUUUUAAGAAUUUUUAAUUUUUAAAAUAUUAUUAUUUAUUUAUAAAAAUUUUAAUAAUAUGAAUUCAGAUCAAGGUGCAGUUUUUAUUUAGGAUAAAAUGAGUUACAAUAAAAUUUUAUUUAUUACGGAUUUAGUAAUGUAUAUUAUUAAUGAAGGAGGAUUUAAAAGUAAAUUUAAAUGAUUUUUUAAAUUGAAAAUUGUUUUGAAUUAUGUACAUAUCGCCCGUCGCUCUCGUUAUAAAAUGAGAUAAGUCGUAACAAAGUAAAAGUACUGGAAAGUGUUUUUAGAAUUAUUAUUUUUUUAUAUA